UACAGGGGGUGCAAGCGUUGCUCGGAAUCACUGGGCGUAAAGCGAGCGCAGGCGGCCGAUUAAGUCAGAGGUGGAAGCCCGGGGCUCAACCCCGGAAUGGCCUUUGAAACUGGUCGGCUUGAAUGCAGGAGAGGGUCGCGGAAUUCUUGGUGUAGAGGUGAAAUUCGUAGAUAUCAGGAAGAACAACGAUGGCGAAGGCACUUUACUGGGCUAUUACUAACACUCAGAGACGAAAGCUAGGGUAGCAAAUGGG
rnacentral:rRNA from 1 species